rnacentral:misc_RNA from 1 species
AAGACUAUAGACCUGCGGAGUACCUGCGGAAGGAUCAUUAUUGAAUAAACUUGGAACAAGUUGUUGCUGGCUUCAAAAAAAAAGAAAGCAUGUGCACGCUUGCUCCAUUUUUUUUUUUCAAAAACCUCUUGUGCAUCUGUGUAAAUCUGAACCACUUCGAGACAAAGUGAACCCACUUUACUCGGUCUUGAGAAUUGUCAUGCCACAAGGCGAGGCUUUUCUUGUUUUCAGAUUUAUGUA